GGCUGAAAUUCGCCUUCAUGAAGCCGGAAUUGCUAGUAAUGGCAGGUCAGCAUACUGCCGUGAAUACGUUCCCGGGCCUUGUACACACCGCCCGUCACACCAUGAGAGUUGGGAAUACCCGAAGCCUGUGAGCUAACGAAAGAGGCAGCAGUCGAAGGUAGAAUCAAUGAUUGGGGUGAAGUCGUAACAAGGUAAC
rnacentral:rRNA from 1 species